rnacentral:ncRNA from 12 species
GGGUGCGGCGGAUUCCCGCUGCAGGAACUCGGGAUGGUCGGGCCGCCAUCC